AUUAAUAAGCGGAGGAAAAGAAACUAACUAGGAUUCCCUCAGUAAGGGCGACUGAAGCGGGAAGAGCUCACCGUGUGAAUCUGUGCGGGUGUUUAUUGUCUCAUCUUUGAUGAUUUGGUAGACCCAGCACCGAAUUGUGGUCUGUAGAAGCAUUGUCGGCCGCGGUCCCGGGCCAAGUCCCUUGGAAAAGGGCAGCAUAGAGGGUGAGACUCCCGUUCUUGCCUGGGACGUGUUGGCCAUGGCACAUGUAUUCGACGAGUCGAGUUGCUUGGGAUUGCAGCUCCAAGUGGGUGGUAAAUUCCAUCUAAAGCUAAAUACCGGUGGGAGACCGAUAGCGAACAAGUACCGUGAGGGAAAGAUGCAAAGAACUUUGAAAAGAGAGUUAAAGAGUACCUGAAAUUGCUGAAAGGGAAGCGAAGGAAACCAGUGUCGUGGCUGUGCAUAUUUCCCGUGCCGCUUGCGGUGUGGGCGCUGUGCACGGUCUUGGGCCAGCAUGGGUUUGUAUUUCAAUGCAAAUGGUGGUUUGGGAGGUAGGUUCCACUUGUGGUUCCGAUACCAAGUCAUUUUGUGGUGGAUGAGACCGAGGGAGUCGUCUAUUUUGACGCUCGUGAUGCUGGCGAAAUGGUUUUCUUUACCCCGUCUUG
rnacentral:rRNA from 1 species